CACAAACCUACAGAGCUCUUCUAUUACUA
rnacentral:piRNA from 1 species